GAUGAACGCUGACAGAAUGCUUAACACAUGCAAGUCUUUGGCGAAGCUGUGCUUGCACAGCCUAGCCAAGGCGGACGGGUGAGUAACGCGUAAGGAACUUGCCCUGCAGUCAGGGAUAACAGACGGAAACGACUGAUAAGACCUGGUAAAGUCAGGCGGACUCAUGUCCAGCCUGAUGAAAAGAGAUGCUGCAGGAGAGCCUUGCGUCCUAUUAGCUUGUUGGUGGGGUAACGGCCCACCAAGGCGAUGAUAGGUAGCCGGCCUGAGAGGGUGGACGGCCACAAGGGGACUGAGAUACGGCCCUUACUCCUACGGGAGGCAGCAGUGGGGAAUAUUGGACAAUGGGGGCAACCCUGAUCCAGCAAUUCUGUGUGCACGAUGAAGGUUUUCGGAUUGUAAAGUGCUUUCAGCAGGGAAGAAAAAAAUGACGGUACCUGCAGAGGAAGCGACGGCUAAAUACGUG
rnacentral:rRNA from 1 species